UACGAAGGGGGCGAGCGUUGUUCGGAUUUACUGGGCGUAAAGGGCGCGCAGGCGGCCAUGUUUGUCAGGCGUGAAAGCCCCGGGCUUAACCUGGGAACUGCGCUUGAGACGGGAUGGCUUGAGAUCGGGAGAGGAGAGUGGAAUUCCCAGUGUAGAGGUGAAAUUCGUAGAUAUUGGGAGGAACACCAGUGGCGAAGGCGGCUCACUGGACCGGAACUGACGCUGAGGCGCGAAAGCGUGGGGAGCAAACAGG
rnacentral:rRNA from 1 species